UUGAGUAUGCACAUACACAUGCCCAAGCUGCUGGAUCCAGGUCUCAUAACACUCAGUUGGCCACAAGAGAUCUAGCAUCUUUACCUUCACACUACCUGCUGGUCCUAAACUCUAACAUUUUAACAGUCUCAGUUUAUCUUUCAAUAUUAGUAAUGUUUUAGUGGGUGUUUUUUUUUUUUUUACAAGAGGAAGGGGCCAGAUGGAGUUUGUAGUUACCAGUGCCUAUAGAGGCAAGGACAACAGAAACCUGCUGCUCCGUGGGAUGGCAUGAAUAUGUCCCCCUAAAAUUCGUGUGUGGAAAUUUGAUUGUGAAGGAAUUAAGAGGGUAGAAAUGUUAUCUGACUAUGGGGUUAAGAAGCAGGGCCUUUGGGAGGUGAUCAGGAUUAGAUGAGGUCAUCUGGGUGGGGCUCCCAUGACUGAAUGCUGGCAGAUUUGUAAGGAGAGAGAGGAAGACCAGAGCAGAGGCACACACAGAAGGCCUCGCCCUCUUGCCAUGUGAUGGCCGGUUUGCUUCAGGACUCUGCAGAAAGUCCCCCUUAACAAGAAGGUCCUCAUCAGAUGCAGCCACUAGACCUUGGACAUCCAACACCAUGAGUUAAGGGCCUCAAAGAUGGGAAGGAAGCUGAUGCAAAUGUGUAUUUAAGCACUAUUGGUGGCAACCCAGAAUCUGUGUUCUCCGGAGGGUAUCUAUGACACACUGUUCUGGACAGCCUUUAAAUAAUCGGUGGUGAAACAGAGGAUAUCACCAGGUGACAAUGGGACUGGAAGUGAUCUGACAUUUGUACGUGAUGAGAUACUCAUUUUUCUGAAAUAAAGGAUCUAUGAAGAGA